GAUGAAAGAACGUAGCGAAAUGCGAUACUUGGUGUGAAUUGCAGAAUCCCGUGAACCAUCGAGUCUUUGAACGCAAGUUGCGCCCGAAGCCACUAGGCCGAGGGCACGCCUGCCUGGGCGUCACACGCCGUUGCCCCCCCAUCUACUCCUUCGGGAUUGCGGGGGGGCGGAUGAUGGCCUCCCGUGCGCCUAGCCGCGCGGUUGGCAUAAAUACCAAGUCCUCGGCGACGCACGCCACGACAAUCGGUGGUUGCGAAACCUCGGUUGCCCGUCGUGUGCGUUCGUCGCGCAUCGAGGGCUCGAAAAAAUGCUCGGCUCCGGCUGGGCUUUCAACGCGACCCCAGGUCAGGCGGGGUUACCCGCUGAAUUUAAGCAUAUCAAUAAGCGGAGGA
rnacentral:misc_RNA from 1 species